rnacentral:rRNA from 1 species
GAUGAACGCUGGCGGCGUGCCUAAUACAUGCAAGUCGAGCGAACAGAUAAGGAGCUUGCUCCUUUGACGUUAGCGGCGGACGGGUGAGUAACACGUGGGUAACCUACCUAUAAGACUGGGAUAACUUCGGGAAACCGGAGCUAAUACCGGAUAAUAUUUCGAACAGCAUGGUUCGAUAGUGAAAGAUGGCUUUGCUAUCACUUAUAGAUGGACCCGCGCCGUAUUAGCUAGUUGGUAAGGUAACGGCUUACCAAGGCUACGAUACGUAGCCGACCUGAGAGGGUGAUCGGCCACACUGGAACUGAGACACGGUCCAGACUCCUACGGGAGGCAGCAGUAGGGAAUCUUCCGCAAUGGGCGAAAGCCUGACGGAGCAACGCCGCGUGAGUGAUGAAGGUCUUCGGAUCGUAAAACUCUGUUAUUAGGGAAGAACAUACGUGUAAGUAACUGUGCACGUCUUGACGGUACCUAAUCAGAAAGCCACGGCUAACUACGUG